rnacentral:rRNA from 1 species
UACGAAGGGGGCUAGCGUUGUUCGGAAUUACUGGGCGUAAAGCGUGCGUAGACGGUAGCGUAAGUCAGAUGUGAAAGCCCCGGGCUCAACCUGGGAACUGCAUUUGUGACUGGCAAGCUAGAGUAUGGCAGAGGGGGGUAGAAUUCCACGUGUAGCAGUGAAAUGCGUAGAGAUGUGGAGGAAUACCGAUGGCGAAGGCAGCCCCCUGGGCCAAUACUGACGCUCAUGCACGAAAGCGUGGGGAGCAAACAGG